rnacentral:rRNA from 1 species
UGGGGAAUCUUGGACAAUGGGGGCAACCCUGAUCCAGCCAUGCCGCGUGAGUGAUGAAGGCCUUAGGGUCGUAAAGCUCUUUCGCCUGUGAAGAUAAUGACGGUAGCAGGUAAAGAAACCCCGGCUAACUCCGUGCCAGCAGCCGCGGUAAUACGGAGGGGGUUAGCGUUGUUCGGAAUUACUGGGCGUAAAGCGCACGUAGGCGGACCAGAAAGUUGGGGGUGAAAUCCCGGGGGCUCAACCCCGGAACUGCCUCCAAAACUAUUGGUCUAGAGUUCGAGAGAGGUGAGUGGAAUUCCAAGUGUAGAGGUGAAAUUCGUAGAUAUUAGGAAGAACACCAGUGGCGAAGGCGACUCACUGGACAGGUAUUGACGCUGAGGUACGAAAGGCGUGGGGAGCGAACAGGAUUAGAGUACCCUGGUAGUCCACGCGUAAACGAUGAGUGCUAGUCGUCGGCAGGCAUGCCUGUCGGUGACGCAG